GAUGAACGCUGGCGGCGUGCCUAAUACAUGCAAGUCGAGCGAACAGAUAAGGAUCUUGCUCCUUUGACGUUAGCGGCUGACGGGUCAGUAACACGUGUUUAACCUACCUAUAAUUCUGGUAUAACUUCGGGAAACCGGAUCUAAUACCGGAUAACAUUUGGUACCGCAUGGUUCUAUAGUGAAUUAUGGUUUUGCUAUCUCUUAUAGAUGGACCCGCGCCGUAUUAGCUAGUUGGUAAGGUAACGGCUUACCAAGGCGACGAUACGUAGCCGACCUGAGAGGGUGAUCGGAAAAACGGGAACUGAGACACGGAAAAGAAGACGAAGGGAGGAAGCAGAAGGGAAGAGGACGCAAUGGGGGAAAGAAUGACGGAGAAAAGACGAGUGAGAGAUGAAGGGGUUAGGAUCGUAAAAAUAUGUUAUGAGGGAAGAAAAAAAGUGUAAGUAAAUGUGAACGGAAUGACGGUAACUAAUAAGAAAGCAACGGCUAACUACGUG
rnacentral:rRNA from 1 species